AUGGCCGAUCAGGGCGACGGAGGGGCUCCGGCUCCGGCGGCACCGGCGCCGGCCGUGGUGCUGGGAGCACAGCCGGAAGAACCUGCCGGGGAUGCAGGCGUGGAGGAGCCGCUGGAAGUGCUGGAUGCUCCGGUGCCAGUGGUUGGUGAAGGCGUGGAGGACCCGCAGGAAGAAGAGGCUUUGGCUGGAGGCGACGAUCAGGCGCCGGCUAUGGGUGAAGGAGUGGUGGACCUGCUGAAGGGGCUCGUGGAACUGGAUGAACCCGAGCCGGAGAAUGUGGACGAGUCAGCUGUUCGCAACCUGAUGGACGAACUGGCGCAAGGGGAGCCCAAGAAACGGAAGAUCGACUACACGCUGGCCACACAAGGACCGUCGACUGCUGGUGGAUCCGGUGCCGGUGUUGCAACCCUCCCCAAGGCAGGCCCUUCUAUGUCGAUCUACACGAUGCCUUCCAUUGUGCCGCCGGCCGGGGCAGCUCCUCCCGUGAUCAUCCCCGGCCUGCCUUUCGUGGGAGUGCCACCUGUGGGAGCUGGCGGGAGGCCACGAUUACCAGCGCUGGCUACCGGCCCUGGUACCGGGGCGUUACAGCCGUGUCCCUCCUGCCACACAGCAAUCAGGCAGCCAAACCAGGCUCGCUUGGGCAUGCCCCCACCCAAUUGUCCAAACCCGCACUUCUGCUUGUGCCUGCCGUGCCAGGAGUGGCUGGAACGGAGGAUUUAUUACUGCGAGAUAUGCCGUGAUUUCUAUGCGAUGAACCCAGGUUUGAGGAGGUGA
rnacentral:rRNA from 1 species